ACCGAGUCUUAACUGGGCGUUAAGUUGCAGGGUAUAGACCCGAAACCCGGUGAUCUAGCCAUGGGCAGGUUGAAGGUUGGGUAACACUAACUGGAGGACCGAACCGACUAAUGUUGAAAAAUUAGCGGAUGACUUGUGGCUGGGGGUGAAAGGCCAAUCAAACCGGGAGAUAGCUGGUUCUCCCCGAAAGCUAUUUAGGUAGCGCCUCGUGAAUUCAUCUCCGGGGGUAGAGCACUGUUUCGGCAAGGGGGUCAUCCCGACUUACCAACCCGAUGCAAACUGCGAAUACCGGAGAAUGUUAUCACGGGAGACACACGGCGGGUGCUAACGUCCGUCGUGAAGAGGGAAACAACCCAGACCGCCAGCUAAGGUCCCAAAGUCAUGGUUAAGUGGGAAACGAUGUGGGAAGGCCCAGACAGCCAGGAUGUUGGCUUAGAAGCAGCCAUCAUUUAAAGAAAGCGUAAUAGCUCACUGGUCGAGUCGGCCUGCGCGGAAGAUGUAACGGGGCUAAACCAUGCACCGAAGCUGCGGCAGCGACGCUUAUGCGUUGUUGGGUAGGGGAGCGUUCUGUAAGCCUGCGAAGGUGUGCUGUGAGGCAUGCUGGAGGUAUCAGAAGUGCGAAUGCUGACAUAAGUAACGAUAAAGCGGGUGAAAAGCCCGCUCGCCGGAAGACCAAGGGUUCCUGUCCAACGUUAAUCGGGGCAGGGUGAGUCGACCCCUAAGGCGAGGCCGAAAGGCGUAGUCGAUGGGAAACAGGUUAAUAUUCCUGUACUUGGUGUUACUGCGAAGGGGGGACGGAGAAGGCUAUGUUGGCCGGGCGACGGUUGUCCCGGUUUAAGCGUGUAGGCUGGUUUUCCAGGCAAAUCCGGAAAAUCAAGGCUGAGGCGUGAUGACGAGGCACUACGGUGCUGAAGCAACAAAUGCCCUGCUUCCAGGAAAAGCCUCUAAGCAUCAGGUAACAUCAAAUCGUACCCCAAACCGACACAGGUGGUCAGGUAGAGAAUACCAAGGCGCUUGAGAGAACUCGGGUGAAGGAACUAGGCAAAAUGGUGCCGUAACUUCGGGAGAAGGCACGCUGAUAUGUAGGUGAAGUCCCUCGCGGAUGGAGCUGAAAUCAGUCGAAGAUACCAGCUGGCUGCAACUGUUUAUUAAAAACACAGCACUGUGCAAACACGAAAGUGGACGUAUACGGUGUGACGCCUGCCCGGUGCCGGAAGGUUAAUUGAUGGGGU
rnacentral:rRNA from 1 species